UACGUAGGGGGCUAGCGUUGUCCGGAAUCAUUGGGCGUAAAGCGCGCGUAGGCGGCCCGGUAAGUCCGCUGUGAAAGUCAAAGGCUCAACCUUUGAAUGUCAGCGGAUACUGCCGGGCUAGAGUCCGGAAGAGGCGAGUGGAAUUCCUGGUGUAGCGGUGGAAUGCGCAGAUAUCAGGAGGAACACCAACGGCGAAGGCAGCUCGCUGGGACGGUACUGAUGCUGAGGCGCGAAAGCGUGGGGAGCGAACAGG
rnacentral:rRNA from 1 species